rnacentral:lncRNA from 1 species
AGGCCAGACACACUGUGUGGCUGAAUCACAAUGAUCAGACUCUCCUGACGGUGAUCAGAUUGCGGCGAUCUACUACCCGUACAAAGGUAUUGUGUUCUGAACACGUUACAGUAAAGAGUUUACUGUUUGAAUUUCAAAUUCAAAUUUAAAUGAAUGCAUACUAUAUAUCAUAUUUAGAUCCUAGUGUAGGAUAAAUUUAUGUUAAUUAAUUAGAU